GGCCGGGUAGCUCAGUAGGUAAGAGCACUUGCCCUGUAAGCGAGAGGUCCCGGGUUCGAUUCCUGGUCUGGUCG
rnacentral:tRNA from 1 species